UCGCGCCUCCUACCCUCUCUCUCUCUCUCUCUCUCUCUCUCUCUCUCUCUGAUCCGGGAUCAGGGGGCCUACUCUUCUCUUUCCCAUCUUCCCGAGGAUCGAGCAGGAAGAGGGACAACAUCCAGAUCGAGAAGAAAAGAAGAAAUUUCGGGCGAUGCUGUUCCGUGCUUCCUUACUUCCCAUAGUGGAUGCGACGUAUGGAAUGUAAAGAAGUAUGGAGCUGCGCCCGGAGUUGCAUCAGUUCAACGUUGAAGGAAAUGGAUGGGUGAA